rnacentral:rRNA from 1 species
GAUGAACGCUGGCGGCGUGCCUAACACAUGCAAGUCGAGCGAACAGAGGAGGAACUUUCUUCUCUUCCGUUAUCGUCGGGCGGGUGAGUAACACGUGUAUACCCUACCUAUUAGACUGGGAUAACUUCGGGAGACCGGAGCUCAUAUCCGUCAUUAUAUUUAAUCUCGUGGUUCAAUAGUGAUAAACGGUUUUGCUGUCACUUAUACAUUGAUCCGCGCCGCAUUUGCUAGUUGGUACGGUAACGGCUUACCAAGGCAACGAUGCGUAGCCGACCUGAGAGGGUGAUCGGCCACACUGGAACUGAGACACGGUCCAGACUCCUACGGGAGGCAGCAGUAGGGAAUCUUCGGCAAUGGGCGAAAGCUGGACAGAGCAAGGCCGCGUGAGUGAUGAAGGUCUUCGGAUCGUAAAACUCUGUAAUUAGGGAGGAAGGACUGUGUGAGAAAAUAUGGAUGUAUUGACGGUACCUAAACAGAAAGCCACGGCUAACUACGUG